UGGCUCAGAUUGAACGCUGGCGGCAGGCCUAACACAUGCAAGUCGAACGGUAACAGGAAGCAGCUUGCUGCUUCGCUGACGAGUGGCGGACGGGUGAGUAAUGUCUGGGAAACUGCCUGAUGGAGGGGGAUAACUACUGGAAACGGUGGCUAAUACCGCAUAACGUCGCAAGACCAAAGAGGGGGACCUUCGGGCCUCUUGCCAUCAGAUGUGCCCAGAUGGGAUUAGCUUGUUGGUGAGGUAACGGCUCACCAAGGCGACGAUCCCUAGCUGGUCUGAGAGGAUGACCAGCCACACUGGAACUGAGACACGGUCCAGACUCCUACGGGAGGCAGCAGUGGGGAAUAUUGCACAAUGGGCGCAAGCCUGAUGCAGCCAUGCCGCGUGUAUGAAGAAGGCCUUCGGGUUGUAAAGUACUUUCAGCGGGGAGGAAGGUGUUGUGGUUAAUAACCGCAGCAAUUGACGUUACCCGCAGAAGAAGCACCGGCUAACUCCGUGCCAGCAGCCGCGGUAAUAGGGAGGGUGCAAGCGUUAAUCGGAAUUACUGGGCGUAAAGCGCACGCAGGCGGUCUGUCAAGUCGGAUGUGAAAUCCCCGGGCUCAACCUGGGAACUGCAUUCGAAACUGGCAGGCUUGAGUCUUGUAGAGGGGGGUAGAAUUCCAGGUGUAGCGGUGAAAUGCGUAGAGAUCUGGAGGAAUACCGGUGGCGAAGGCGGCCCCCUGGACAAAGACUGACGCUCAGGUGCGAAAGCGUGGGGAGCAAACAGGAUUAGAUACCCUGGUAGUCCACGCCGUAAACGAUGUCUACUUGGAGGUUGUGCCCUUGAGGCGUGGCUUCCGGAGCUAACGCGUUAAGUAGACCGCCUGGGGAGUACGGCCGCAAGGUUAAAACUCAAAUGAAUUGACGGGGGCCCGCACAAGCGGUGGAGCAUGUGGUUUAAUUCGAUGCAACGCGAAGAACCUUACCUGGUCUUGACAUCCACAGAAGAAUCCAGAGAUGGAUUUGUGCCUUCGGGAACUGUGAGACAGGUGCUGCAUGGCUGUCGUCAGCUCGUGUUGUGAAAUGUUGGGUUAAGUCCCGCAACGAGCGCAACCCUUAUCCUUUGUUGCCAGCGAUUAGGUCGGGAACUCAAAGGAGACUGCCAGUGAUAAACUGGAGGAAGGUGGGGAUGACGUCAAGUCAUCAUGGCCCUUACGACCAGGGCUACACACGUGCUACAAUGGCGCAUACAAAGAGAAGCGACCUCGCGAGAGCAAGCGGACCUCAUAAAGUGCGUCGUAGUCCGGAUUGGAGUCUGCAACUCGACUCCAUGAAGUCGGAAUCGAUAGUAAUCGUGGAUCAGAAUGCCACGGUGAAUACGUUCCCGGGCCUUGUACACACCGCCCGUCACACCAUGGGAGUGGGUUGCAAAAGAAGUAGGUAGCUUAACCUUCGGGAGGGCGCUUACCACUUUGUGAUUCAUGACUG
rnacentral:rRNA from 1 species